rnacentral:rRNA from 1 species
GACGAACGCUGGCGGCGUGCCUAAUACAUGCAAGUAGAACGCUGAAGAGAGGAGCUUACUCUUCUUGGAUGAGUUGCGAACGGGUGAGUAACGCGUAGGUAACCUGCCUUGUAGCGGGGGAUAACUAUUGGAAACGAUAGCUAAUACCGCAUAACAAUGGAUGACACAUGUCAUUUAUUUGAAAGGGGCAAUUGCUCCACUACAAGAUGGACCUGCGUUGUAUUAGCUAGUAGGUGAGGUAAUGGCUCACCUAGGCGACGAUACAUAGCCGACCUGAGAGGGUGAUCGGCCAAACUGGGACUGAGACACGGCCCAGACUCCUACGGGAGGCAGCAGUAGGGAAUCUUCGGCAAUGGGGGCAACCCUGACCGAGCAACGCCGCGUGAGUGAAGAAGGUUUUCGGAUCGUAAAGCUCUGUUGUAGGUCAAGAACGGGUGUGAGAGUGGAAAGUUCACACUGUGACGGUAGCUUACCAGAAAGGGACGGCUAACUACGUG